rnacentral:rRNA from 1 species
UACGGAGGGGGCUAGCGUUGUUCGGAAUUACUGGGCGUAAAGCGCACGUAGGCGGUUUUGUAAGUUAGAGGUGAAAGCCCAGGGCUUAACCCUGGAAUUGCCUUUAAGACUGCAUCGCUAGAAUUGUGGAGAGGUAAGUGGAAUUCCGAGUGUAGAGGUGAAAUUCGUAGAUAUUCGGAAGAACACCAGUGGCGAAGGCGACUUACUGGACACAUAUUGACGCUGAGGUGCGAAAAGCAGUGGG